rnacentral:rRNA from 1 species
ACGCUGGCGGCAUGCUUUACACAUGCAAGUCGGACGGCAGCACAGAGAAGCUUGCUUCUUGGGUGGCGAGUGGCGAACGGGUGAGUAAUAUAUCGGAACGUACCGAGUAAUGGGGGAUAACUAAUCGAAAGAUUAGCUAAUACCGCAUAUUCUCUGAGGAGGAAAGCAGGGGACCUUCGGGCCUUGCGUUAUUCGAGCGGCCGAUAUCUGAUUAGCUAGUUGGUGGGGUAAAGGCCUACCAAGGCGACGAUCAGUAGCGGGUCUGAGAGGAUGAUCCGCCACACUGGGACUGAGACACGGCCCAGACUCCUACGGGAGGCAGCAGUGGGGAAUUUUGGACAAUGGGCGCAAGCCUGAUCCAGCCAUGCCGCGUGUCUGAAGAAGGCCUUCGGGUUGUAAAGGACUUUUGUCAGGGAAGAAAAGGCUGUUGCUAAUACCGACAGCUGAUGACGGUACCUGAAGAAUAAGCACCGGCUAACUACGUGCCAGCAGCCGCGGUAAUACGUAGGGUGCGAGCGUUAAUCGGAAUUACUGGGCGUAAAGCGAGCGCAGACGGUUACUUAAGCAGGAUGUGAAAUCCCCGGGCUCAACCUGGGAACUGCGUUCUGAACUGGGUGACUAGAGUGUGUCAGAGGGAGGUAGAAUUCCACGUGUAGCAGUGAAAUGCGUAGAGAUGUGGAGGAAUACCGAUGGCGAAGGCAGCCUCCUGGGAUAACACUGACGUUCAUGCUCGAAAGCGUGGGUAGCAAACAGGAUUAGAUACCCUGGUAGUCCACGCCCUAAACGAUGUCAAUUAGCUGUUGGGCAACUUGAUUGCUUAGUAGCGUAGCUAACGCGUGAAAUUGACCGCCUUGGGGAGUACGGUCGCAAGAUUAAAACUCAAAGGAAUUGACGGGGACCCGCACAAGCGGUGG